UGUGGGAGCGGGCUUGCUCGCGAAGGCGGUGGAUCAGUGGAAAUCCAUGUAUUUGAUCCACCGUCUUCGCGAGCAAGCCCGCUCCCACA
rnacentral:antisense_RNA from 2 species